CACCCCUCAGCCGGGCUCGGGUCUCCUGUUGCCCCCUCACCGCCUCCCUCCAGCCCUCAAACACGGUCCCAUCCCGGCUUGGCUUAAACCGCAGGGCCCCGGCCUGCGAGGGGCCGUGAGGGGCAGCACGGCGGUGGAGAGAUGCCCACCCCUUAAGGUUCCCCAAUUCCUCUCAGCAGUGCCCGAGUUCAAGGAUAUCGGAGCCCUGCCUGCCUGGGCACCGUGAAGUUGCCAUGGGCCGGUGGGGUUUGUGAAAUGGGGUAAUAUCUGCCCGGGAUCCUGAGGAAGAAGGAUGGCGUGUAACGGGUGGAUGGGUCAGAAGCUUGGCUUGUGACAAGGAAGGAUCCAGUAACAGGCUUCAAGUAGUGGAGAGAAAAACAACAGACAGCCGUUUACUUCCAAGAUCUCGAUGGUUACUGUGGUCACAAGAGACGGGAGCUAGUAUCACAGCUGAGGUUCCUAUGGAAACAGUCCUUUAUGUGAUCACGCUUGGCUGUGUCUCCUUUACUUCUCCAAUAACUUUUGAAACUGUUGGGUAGUUUCCACCAAAUCUAUCUCGAAUAUAAUUAAGUUAUUUCAUGAAAAUAGUCAGCUGGGUAGAGCUGAGAGAUCCUGUAAAUGUCCCAAAGGCUGCAACACAAACUUACCUUUUAUUAAACAGUGAUUCACAUGGAUGAGAGAUUGUAUAAAUGUCUCAGUAAUGACAAAAGUUUCGAUUACAGCUCAUUAUCGAUCUCAGUAUAAGUCUGUGGGAAACCAGAAUUCUUGGGUUCAUGUUCUCCCAGAAUUACUUGUUUAAUGUCCUCCAGUCAGAGGUAGGUGCAAGUGGAAGGGGUACAUGAAGAGGGAGAGAGAUAAAUGAGAAAUUACAAACGUCUGUAUCCUGCAAGUCAUUUCAUCUGCUUUGUUGUGUGGGCCUGGCCAUAAAGCUCGGUAUGACAGGGGCUUCACAAAACUGAGAUUAAAGGGAAAAAAAAAAAGAAGUGGAGAACAUACACAUAGAAAUACAAGAUCCAUUAGGACAGACAGCUGAAGAUGAGAAGGAAACUGAAGGCACUUGGAAUGGGAAGGUACUGAGAGGUUUUCACAGUGGGAAAGAGAUUAUGGCAAUGGUAUCCUCUUCUGAAUUCUUCUUCUCUGAAGAGAGCCCUGCUGCUGCUAGGAGCAGGCU